rnacentral:rRNA from 1 species
UACGGAGGGUGCAAGCGUUAUUCGGAAUUACUGGGCGUAAAGGGUGCGUAGGUGGUUAAGUAAGUUAUCUGUGAAAUCCCUGGGCUCAACCUGGGCAGGUCAGAUAAUACUGUUUAACUCGAGUAUGGGAGAGGGUAGUGGAAUUUCCGGUGUAGCGGUGAAAUGCGUAGAGAUCGGAAGGAACACCAGUGGCGAAGGCGGCUACCUGGCCUAAUACUGACACUGAGGCACGAAAGCGUGGGGAGCAAACAGG